rnacentral:rRNA from 1 species
GAUGAACGCUGGCGGCGUGCCUAAUACAUGCCAGUCGAGCGAACGGACGAGAAGCUUGCUUCUCUGAUGUUAGCGGCGGACGGGUGAGUAACACGUGGAUAACCUCCCUAUAAGACUGGGAUAACUUCGGGAAACCGGAGCUAAUACCGGAUAAUAUUUUGAACCGCAUGGUUCAAAAGUGAAAGACGGUCUUGCUGUCACUUAUAGAUGGAUCCGCGCUGCAUUAGCUAGUUGGUAAGGUAACGGCUUACCAAGGCAACGAUGCAUAGCCGACCUGAGAGGGUGAUCGGCCACACUGGAACUGAGACACGGUCCAGACUCCUACGGGAGGCAGCAGUAGGGAAUCUUCCGCAAUGGGCGAAAGCCUGACGGAGCAACGCCGCGUGAGUGAUGAAGGUCUUCGGAUCGUAAAACUCUGUUAUUAGGGAAGAACAUAUGUGUAAGUAACUGUGCACAUCUUGACGGUACCUAAUCAGAAAGCCACGGCUAACUACGUG